GACGAACGCUGGCGGCGUGCUUAACACAUGCAAGUCGAACGGAAAGGCCUGCUUUCCCUUGUGGAUUGCGGGUACUCGAGUGGCGAACGGGUGAGUAACACGUGAGUGAUCUGCCCCCAACUUGGGUAUAAGCCUGGGAAACUGGGUCUAAUUCCCGAUAGGACUGCAGGGUGGUGCCUGUGGUGGAAAACGAUUUUCUAGUGGUUGGGGAUGAGCUCGCGGCCUAUCAGCUUGUUGGUGGGGUAAUGGCCUACCAAGGCGGCGUCGGGUAGCCGGCCUGAGAGGGUGGACGGCCACAUUGGGACUGAGAUACGGCCCAGACUCCUACGGGAGGCAGCAGUGGGGAAUAUUGCACAAUGGGCGGAAGCCUGAUGCAGCGACGCCGCGUGGGGGAUGACGGCCUUCGGGUUGUAAACUCCUUUCGACCGCGAGGAAGCCACCUGGUUGGAAGGGUGGUGACGGUAGUGGUAGAAGAAGCACCGGCUAACUACGUG
rnacentral:rRNA from 1 species